GAAUUGAGCUGGCUUCGGCCGCUCUGAUCUAUACACACCUGUGAACUGUUGGCCUUCGGGUCUUUAAAUACAACUGUGACGAACGUAAAUUAUUAUAAUCAAUAAAACUUUUAACAACGGAUCUCUUGGUUCU
rnacentral:misc_RNA from 1 species